CAAGCGUAGAAAGGGGCCUAACUCUUCUAUGUUCCAUGCAGAUUGUUCAUAGACCACGGGCAGCUCCUCUGAUGCCAGGAGAGACUGUGGGGAUUCCAGAAGAGUAGUUUAUUAGAGAUUACAGGAGAAAGCAACAGCCUGAAUAAUAGAACACAGAAAAACUUUGCCUUAAGGAAAGAUUUGGGAAACAGACACCAAAAAUUAGUGUUAAUUAGCUUUGCAGAGUUCCUUUACAUAAUGUUUCUAAAUAUACAAAGUGAGAUAAACUUGUAUCCUUAGGUAUUUCAAGUAUAUUAAUGAAAUGACUUGCAAAGUGAAGAUCCUGCUUCAGUGAAGAGUAUGGUGCUGAUAAGUUUGUGGAUUGAUAAGCCUAUUGAUGAAUGGACACCACUAACUUAGUUCAUCCUUCCCACCUUAUAGGUGGAAGAAUGGGUGUGAGCAGUUCAUCAUAUGGAAACUGGGUUCUGAAUGUAAUACAGAGAGGUCACAAACUGACCAUCCCAAGGACACAAUUAUCUCGCUUUUUCUGGUCCUAUCCGUGAGGCUUGACAAGUAGAGGCAUGUAUCCAUCACCACAGUCAAGACAGAACAUUUCCACCACCCCCAGGAAGUCCCUCAUGCUACCUGCUCUAGUCAGACCCUCAACCCUUGGCAACCAUGAUCUGUUUUCCAUACCUUAUAGUUUUGCCUUUUCCAGAACGUCAUAUAAUGUGUGUUUUUCACAUGCUUAUUUGCCAUUUGUAUGCCUUCUUUGGUAACUUGUAUUUUAACACCAUUUGACUAAGCUGCCAAUAUUUAAAUAUUAGGAGAGUUCAAAUAAAAGUCUGACUGAGCUUGGCUAUUUGGAAGAUAAGGCGACAUUGGAUCCACAGUCCUACGUGACGAAGAUGGCUCCAGCUCUGUGUGUGGUUCAGUUACGUCUGGGCCUUUGACUCAGCCUUAUUCGCUCCUCAUGUUAAUUCUACUUAGGAGAAUAGUUCUUCAGUAUGUGUCAUCGUGUCUAAUCUUACAACAAGGGUAGGUGGAGAUGGCCUGUCUCUGUCUUUACUAUCUUCUAUAGCAACACUUUAAGUUACUGUUCUAGAACAAUGGAUUGAACAGAGGGAUACAAAUUCUUCAGGAUCACUGUUUUUCCUGACAUGAAAACUGAACAUGGAAAUAGGCCCUACCUGAGCUAACCAGGCUACUGAGGUCCUUCCUCUUGGAGUGCUUGUGCCAGCCGGUACCCACUGUUGCUGCUCCGGGUUCUGGUGUGACUGCAGUGAAACUACAUGCAAUUAGGCGACUGGCUGAACAGGCCAUUAAAGAAGUGGAAACACAUGCAUUCAUGUUCAAAGAAAGAAAACAUCAGUAAAAGUGGAGACACAUCAGUUCAGCUCACACUGUGUUCUUCAAACAACUGGGAAAGACAUCAACCAAAAUUCAUAUGCCAUACACACUGACCUAUAUAGUCAAGUGCGAUGGAAGCAGCUGAGGCUACUGGGGUGGCCCUAAGGAUUGGACAGUCCUCUGCCCAAGUGCAGAGAAAUGGAAGGUUCUGUGCACACAGGAACGAGCCCCUGGCCGCUUUCUUCUGGACUUCUUGUGCUAACAAACAGAGGAAAGAGUUCACCUAGGAACUGCCCCCCUCUCCGAGUAGGCUGGGUUGCUUUAGAAGCCCUCAGGUUGAGAAAUACCUGGUUAGGCCACAAUCAGCAAAAUUACAAGGCUGAGGAAAAGUAAAAAAAUAAGAGCCAGGAAGUGACUCAAUAACUUGAAAUAGAAAGACAUGGAACUAUCUCAAUUUGCAAAGAAGAGAAUAACUGUUUUAGACAAAAGAAAAUAUAUAGGCCAGAGCUUGCACCUCUUGAAUUGGAUUCUGAAAAAGGGAGCAUGAUAGCAAAUUUGCACAGCAGCAGCUAAGGGCAAGCCUUAGGAGUUUUUGGCAUUAGGAAGAUUAGAAUGUUCUAGGUAGUGCUUCACAAUGCCUGCAUGCUGGUGAAUUAACCCAGUAGCUUUAUCUUGUCUCCUGCUCUGCAGCAUCAGACACUCUUGUCUUAUCAUAGCCCUAUUGACUCGUGAGUUCUUACCCUCAGUAAUAACUGACCAGGAUGCUCAUGUGUUCACUUGCAAGGGAAGGCAGAUCUGAAAGAGUAACAGCACUGGCAGUAAUAGUAAUAAUGGUUCAUGUUAUUUAGAUAUUUGCCAGGUGUUGUCCUAGCUGCUUAUAGACAGAAUUUCAGUCUCACCAUUUUACAGAUGAGGUUGAGUGACUUGCAUGAGAUCACGUAGCUAGGGCUAGGAUUCAAACCUAGAUCCAUUUUGAUUCCAAAGCCUGUGGUCUUUGCACAACACUGUGCCAUCUCAUCUACUCAGAACCCCAAACUACAGAUCAAAGGAAGACUUGAAUACAGAAUCAAGAAAAGACAUGAAAGUUUUGUCAUAAGCAAGAAAGUAACUUAUAAUAAGCCAUUCCACCCCAUUUGUAGAGAGGGGAUUCUUAAAGAAUACAGCAGCAGCUGAUGAGGCAAAAAUGUUUUAAACUAGAUCCAGGGUUUGUAAAAAAAAAAAAAAAAAAAACAAAAAAAAAAACACCCCAGCUUUAAGUGUUAAGACAUGUUCACAACAAAAGUCAUGCAGAAACAAAUGAAGGGGAAGAAUUCUAAAACAUCAGAAUUUGAUUUGGCAACUUAAACAUAGUCAAGAAAUCAUACAGUACUUGUUUAAAGAAAAACACUUUAUGAUAAAUAAUGUAAAUCUAUGUUUGCCCCAGAUAAACUAUGAAAAGAAAGUUGGUGAAUAAAACAGCAAAGGUGAAUUGUCUUGGCCCAGUGAGUUUAAGGGGAACUUCCAGGAUGAAGCGAUGGAAAGCCAGGUUUGGAAAAUCAUUACUCAGAAAAUAAGAAAACCCAGCUUGAAACUAGAAUUUCAUCCCAAGAGAAGAGGUAGCUUAUGCUAGCAGCAUGUGGGACUAUGCCAAAGAAAUGCUAGAAUAUGUACCUCGAGGAGAAAUUCUGUAAUAAAGAUUCUCAAACUUUUAUCACAAGACUCCUUUACACUCUUACAAACAGCUUCUGUUUUGAGUUACAUGUGAUAUUUUAUCUGUUAGAAAUUAAAACAGAAAUUUUAAAACUUAUAAAACCAUUAUGUUAAAAACAAUUUAAUGAAAACUAUAUUUCUUAACACAAAAAUAUAAUGACUUUUGCAAAUCUCUUUAAUAUCUAGCUGGACUCUCCUCCUAUCCACUUCUGCACUCAAUCUGCCGACACAUGUUCUGGUUGAAGUAUAUGAAGAAAAUCUGGCUUCACACAUAUAUAGAUGGAAAGUUUUUUUUAAAAAAUGGGUUUUUCAGGUAAUUGUGGAUAUUUCUUGAUACGACACCAAAACUCAACAAGUGGUAGUUUCUUAAAAGUUAGUUUCAAGGUAGAAUCUGAAAUCACAGCAAGGAAUUUUUUAUACUCUGUUAUAUUAAAAUCCUUUGGUCUAAGCAAUCUCUGUACUGUUUUCCAUAGCAGCUGUACCAAUUUAUAUUCCCACCAAGAGUGCACCAAGGGUUCUCUUUUCUCCACAUCUUGUCUUUUUGA